rnacentral:rRNA from 1 species
AUUGAACGCUGGCGGCAUGCUUUACACAUGCAAGUCGAACGGCAGCACGGGGGCAACCCUGGUGGCGAGUGGCGAACGGGUGAGUAAUAUAUCGGAACGUACCCGGAAAUGGGGGAUAACGUAGCGAAAGUUACGCUAAUACCGCAUAUGCCCUAAGGGGGAAAGCGGGGGACUCGCAAGAACCUCGCGUUUUCGGAGCGGCCGAUAUCGGAUUAGCUAGUAGGUGAGGUAAAGGCUCACCUAGGCGACGAUCCGUAGCUGGUCUGAGAGGACGACCAGCCACACUGGAACUGAGACACGGUCCAGACUCCUACGGGAGGCAGCAGUGGGGAAUUUUGGGACAAUGGGCGCAAGCCUGAUCCAGCCAUGCCGCGUGAGUGAAGAAGGCCU